rnacentral:rRNA from 1 species
GUAGGUGGCAAGCGUUGUCCGGAAUUAUUGGGGCGUAAAGCGCGCGCAUGUGGUUCUUUAAGUCUGAUGUGAAAGCCCCCGGGCUCAACCGGGGAGGGUCAUUGGAAACUGGGGAACUUGAGUGCAGGAGAGGAAAGUGGAAUUCCACGUGUAGCGGUGAAAUGCGUAGAUAUGUGGAGGAACACCAGUGGCGAAGGCGACUUUCUGGCCUGUAACUGACACUGAGGCGCGAAAGCGUGGGGAGCAAACAGGAUUAGAUACCCUGGUAGUCCACGCCGUAAACGAUGAGUGCUAAGUGUUGGGGGGUUUCCGCCCCUCAGUGCUGCAGCUAACGCAUUAAGCACUCCGCCUGGGGAGUACGGUCGCAAAGACUG